rnacentral:misc_RNA from 1 species
UUUCCGUAGGUGAACCUGCGGAAGGAUCAUUAUUGUAUAACCGAGGUGCGAGGGCUGUCGCUGACCCGAAAGGUCGUGCACGCCCGAGUGCCCUCACACACAUCCACCUCACCCCUAUGUGCACCACCGCGUGAGUCCCCCUUUGGCUUGUUCGGAGGGGGGCUUACGUUUUCACACAAACUUUGUAUGCAGUGUAGAAUGUAUUUUUUGUUUUUGCGAUCACGCAAUCAAUACAACUUUCAACAACGGAUCUCUUGGCUCUC